UCCGGAUUUAUUGGGCGUAAAGGGCUCGUAGGCGGCUCGUCGCGUCCGGUGUGAAAGUCCAUCGCUUAACGGUGGAUCUGCGCCGGGUACGGGCGGGCUGGAGUGCGGUAGGGGAGACUGGAAUUCCCGGUGUAACGGUGGAAUGUGUAGAUAUCGGGAAGAACACCGAUGGCGAAGGCAGGUCUCUGGGCCGUCACUGACGCUGAGGAGCGAAAGCGUGGGGAGCGAACAGGAUUAGAUACCCUGGUAGUCCACGCCGUAAACGGUGGACGCUGGAUGUGGGGCACGUUCCACGUGUUCCGUGUCGGAGCUAACGCGUUAAGCGUCCCGCCUGGGGAGUACGGCCGCAAGGCUAAAACUCAAAGAAAUUGACGGGGGCCCGCACAAGCGGCGGAGCAUGCGGAUUAAUUCGAUGCAACGCGAAGAACCUUACCUGGGCUUGACAUGUUCCCGACGACGCCAGAGAUGGCGUUUCCCUUCGGGGCGGGUUCACAGGUGGUGCAUGGUCGUCGUCAGCUCGUGUCGUGAGAUGUUGGGUUAAGUCCGCAACACGCACCCUCGCCCCCGUGUUGCCACACGUUAUGGUGGGAACUCAC
rnacentral:rRNA from 1 species